GUGUCAGCAGCCGCGGUAAUACGUAGGGGGCAAGCGUUGUCCGGAUUUAUUGGGCGUAAAGAGCUCGUAGGCGGUUCCGUAAGUCGAGUGUGAAAAAUCUGGGCUCAACCCAGUGGAGCACUCGAUACUGCGGUGACUAGAGUACGGUAGAGGAGUGUGGAAUUCCUGGUGUAGCGGUGAAAUGCGCAGAUAUCAGGAGGAACACCAACGGCGAAGGCAGCACUCUGGGCCGGUACUGACGCUGAGGAGCGAAAGCGUGGGGAGCAAACAGGAUUAGAUACCCUCGUAGUCC
rnacentral:rRNA from 1 species